rnacentral:rRNA from 1 species
UACGAAGGGGGGCUAGCGUUGCUCGGAAUUACUGGGCGUAAAGCGCGUGUAGGCGGGUUGUUAAGUCCGCUGUGAAAGCCCGGUGCUCAACGCCGGAGGGUCGGUGGAUACUGGCAGUCUUGAAGUGGCUAGGGGGAAAUGGAAUUACCGGUGUAGCGGUGAAAUGCGUAGAUAUCGGUAGGAACACCAGUGGCGAAGGCGGUUUCCUGGAGCCCACUUGACGCUGAGACGCGAAAGCUGGGGGAGCAAACGGG